ensembl:lncRNA
GCUAGCCUUAUUUUACAUUUCUCACUCAUUUCACACUGCUGUUUAUAAAGGAAAAUAUGUCGCUUGUUUCUCCACCUUUGAGUGCAGAUGAGGACUCACUCGAGUUGCACAUGGUGCUGUUGGAAUUAGAGGCCAGCAUGGAGAAACAGAUCCGUGACCUACUCGACAAGCAGGCCCAGCUGCAUGAACGAAAAACCGCGCUAGAAACAUCUUGUGCUAUCACCCAAAAAUCCAAGGUAAGCAUGCAGCAUGGUACUAUCACUCCCAGCACCUCUACACUGUGUGUUUCUCUGUGCAGGGACUGUGCACCCAGGACGUAUCCAGCCCAGGUCUCCGUUACUCUGGCACAGACACACCACGGACCUUGGGUGCACCAGCAGCGGAAAGCAUGGGCCAGACCCCAGGCGAGGACCUCUCCCCCUCCACUGCCCCCAGUCUUCGAGAUCUCCACCAGGCACCGCUUCCCCGCUCUCCGUGAGACCAAAUAGAACACCAUGAUCAUCAGAGAUGCCAUUGUUCAUAACGUCUGCAUCGCCUCAACUAACGAAUUCCAGGCGAUGGCACUGGACUUCCGAGAAGGCGGCCGUGGCUCUUCCCCUUUUCCGACAGAUGACUGCUGCACCUCCACCUCCCCAACAGACAGCUACGGCUCCUCCCCUUUUCAGGAGGACAGCAACCACAUCUUCGCUUUCCUGGCAGACGGCAGCAGGUCCUCUAUCCCCUGGCAGACAACUCCUUCUAUUUCAGGUGGAUAGCAGCAGUUCCUCUGUCCUCCUUGGCAACCACUCCAGCAUCACUGUAUCCUCAGCAUUGCGAUUCUCCAACGGUGGUGACUAUGACUAUGACUAUGACUAUGACUCUGUUCUCCGACAGAGCAUCCCUCCUUUUUCCCGAGUUUUGGCACCAGUGUAACAAACUUUAAAACCAGGUAAGUAGUAGGUGGGAACUGGCUGAACAUACAGUAAACAUACAGUGAGUAUAAUACUAACCAUUACAUAAAACACAAACGUAACACAAACAUAAAGUGCACGUGUGUGUCUCUCUCUCUCCCUCAGUGGCACUUCCAGCUGCUCCUUUAUGUCUCUCUCCCUCCCACUGAUUAGCCCAUGUGCCAGGUGUUCACGGAAGAGGUGGGUCUUUAGCUGUUUCUUGAAGAUGGUGACAGAUUCUGCAGUCCAGAUUGAGAUUGGAAGUUCAUCCCACCACUGAGGAACAGUUAGUUUGAAGGUUCUUCAAAGGGACCUUGAGCCAUGCUGAG